rnacentral:lncRNA from 1 species
AAAAUAUGUAGUAUUUUUGGCAUGAGGCAUAGUGACAUUGCCUUCUCUCUCACCCUACUCUAUUAAGGUUUUGAUAUCUGGAGCUCAUAGGUGGGAGACAGCUAAUACAUACUUACAAGACAUUUAUUGCAUAGUCAAACCAUAGAUCCAGAGAAACAAGUCAAUAAGUCAAAUCAAGAUGUGCAUGUGUGGCGAAUGAAUGGUGUAUGGUGAUGAUGGUGACAAUGGUGAAAACAAUGGUGAAAGUCUAAUUCUACUUUUGCUCUUUUGAGGGCAUACAUACCUUUCUUGCACUUUGAAGCUUUUUGAGGGGGAAUGAGAUGCUCUAUAUUUUCUUUUUCUUUUCUCUCAGGUGGGUAUCUUGUACCCCUAAUUCUACUGUCGGACACUUGUCCAUUUUUACCUCUCGUCUCACUUUUUCUUUUCUUCGAGGUUUCGGGUACUUGCCCCUUUUUAUUUCCUCGUAUUCACCCUUUUUUUCAGAGCAGUCACCCUCUUGGAAUAAUGUAGCAAGUGGUAGUAACCAAAAUAUCUCGAGCAUUUAUUUCAUGGGGAAUAAUAGGGAUAGGAUAAUAUUUUUGGCUAUUCUCUCCCGGAUAGGAGUAGAAUAAUUUUGGGUGAAUCUGGAGAUGGAAAUGAGUGGAUGUAUGUGGAUGCGUACUUCCGGAGUAGAGGCAGCAUGUAUAAGUGAACGUGCAACUGAAUCUUGAUUUUAACCGCAUGACAAGCUCCUAAGGGUCUACACAGCUUGACCACUCAAUGCUCAUAAGCAGUAAAAAGUAAAUGUAUGGUUCAUAGUCUAAUAAGCAUGUAUAUAUGGCUGUGGUAGGAUUUUAAACUCUCAUCAUACAGGAACUCAUCAUGCAACAUUUUAAAGAUUUUCAA